UCCUGUUGUAACGCAAGCAAGACUGUUUAGUUCACGUCUCCCCCAAACAUACAAGGAAAGAAAAAGUAAUAUGUGGAAUCACUUGAGGGCCGGGUCAGCGCUGAAGUUUCCACAAGUAUAUUUUCACAGGAGAGCACAAGAUCCAUAUGACCGUCUAUUUUCUGCCAACACAGCAACAUGAAAAUCCAUCAUCUGCAACUCAUGAUCGCCCUGGAAUCGGUGGUCCAUUUAAAGCGAAUGCAUCUUCGGCCUGGCCACAAUGCCUCCAUGUCAGUUAGCCGCAAGUCCACGUCAACGCAAUUUGAACGUUCUAGAGCCACCUAUCCAACUGAUCAGAUAUAUAAAUCACAACAUGACGCAAGAAGGCUCUUACAUGUUACUUAUAAAAUAGCAAACACUGACAUAUACAUAAACACUCACCUUAUUCACUGCUUUAUACACCUCCAGGUUAAUUUGUGCGUUAUGAUGCAUGGAGUCACCGAUAUCUGUUUUCUUCGUAAUCUUGUGCAAUUUCUUGUAGUCUGGUUCAAAGUCUCAGUCCAACUAGGAGAGUAAGGCACAGAGCUGGACUCCAUAAAUCUGUAUGGGCCAGGCCUUCACUGGUCAGGAACGCCAUGGGAGUGUCAGGCUGCUCCCGGCUGGGGUUUUGGGGCCGGAUUAUGGAUUGAGACGCACAGCUGAGAGGCUAAACUUACACCUUUCAUUCUAGCUUCAAGGGGGUCUCAAUACUUCCUAGAAGCCAGAUUCCAGACCUUUCAUUUGGUCCUGCCAAUGAAUGGACCUUUAACUACUGACUCGUUAUGAGGUCGCUUAUGAUGUGCUGUUGAAAAUUAAAUUCAUAAAAUUAU
rnacentral:lncRNA from 1 species